AUUGAACGCUGGCGGCAGGCCUAACACAUGCGAGUCGAGCGGAUGAAGGGAGCUUGCUCCUGGAUUCAGCGGCGGACGGGUGAGUAAUGCCUAGGAAUCUGCCUGGUAGUGGGGGAUAACGUCCGGAAACGGGCGCUAAUACCGCAUACGUCCUGAGGGAGAAAGUGGGGGAUCUUCGGACCUCACGCUAUCAGAUGAGCCUAGGUCGGAUUAGCUAGUUGGUGGGGUAAAGGCCUGCCAAGGCGACGAUCCGUAACUGGUCUGAGAGGAUGAUCAGUCACACUGGAACUGAGACACGGUCCAGACUCCUACGGGAGGCAGCAGUGGGGAAUAUUGGACAAUGGGCGAAAGCCUGAUCCAGCCAUGCCGCGUGUGUGAAGAAGGUCUUCGGAUUGUAAAGCACUUUAAGUUGGGAGGAAGGGCAGUAAGUUAAUACCUUGCUGUUUUGACGGUACCAACAGAAUAAGCACCGGCUAACUUCGUG
rnacentral:rRNA from 1 species